rnacentral:rRNA from 1 species
AGCGGCGAAAGGGUGAGGAUUAUAUCGACAACCUACCCCGAUGACCGGGACAACGACUGGAAACGGUCGCUAAUACCGGAUGGCCCCGCAGGGAGGCAUCUUCCCGCGGGUAAAUGGAGGGGACCUUUAGGCCUUCCGCAUCGUGAGGGGUCGAUAUCCUAUCAGCUAGUUGGCGGGGUAAUGGCCCACCAAGGCGACGACGGGUAGCCGGACUGAGAGGUUGGCCGGUCACACUGGGACUGAGACACUGCCCAGACUCCUACGGGAGGCUGCAGUCGCGAAUAUUCCGCAAUGGGCGAAAGCCUGACGGAGCGACGCCGCGUGUGGGAUGAAGGCCUUCGGGUUGUAAACCACUGUCACGCGUUAUGAACACCGGGGAGACAACAUCAAUCCGGAUGACAAAGGCGCGAGAGGAAGCCACGGCUAACUCUGUGCCAGCAGCCGCGGUAAGACAGAGGUGGCAAGCGUUGCUCGGAGUUACUGGGCAUAAAGGGCGCGUAGGCGGUCGUGCACGUCGAGGGUGAAAUCCCCGGGCUUAACCCGGGAACUGCCUUUGAUACGGCGCGACUCGAGUGCGGGAGGGGAGAGUGGAACUCCUGGUGGAGCGGUGAAAUGCGUAGAUAUCAGGAGGAACGCCGGUGGCGAAAGCGACUCUCUGGUCCGCAACUGACGCUGAGGCGCGAAAGCUAGGGGAGCAAACGGGAUUAGAUGCCCCGGUAGUCCUAGCCCUAAACUAUGAGAACUAGG